rnacentral:rRNA from 1 species
GAUUAUAUGAGCGUUUAUUUUUAUUAUUUUAUUAUGGUUAAAUAGUAUUAUGAGUGAAAUUUUUUUUGUUAUGAUAGUGGAUAUGUACUGUGGGGGAAGUUGAGUUUAUUUGUUAAUAAUAUUAGGUUGUUUAUUACCUUUUGUAUUAGGGUUUAUUAAUGUGAUUAGAUAUUGAGGUUGUAUCUCGAUGAAUAUCGGGCUAUUAUUUAUGGUGUUGAAUUUAUUGCAUAAGAUUAAUUAGUAUUUAAUAGUUAUGAAAUAUUAUUCAAGUUAUUGUUUAUCUAGUUUUCUAAGAGGUUUAAUAUUAGAUAUUUGUAUUAAGACUGUGAGUAGGGAUUAGCUUAUUUGCUGUUUAUAUGUGAUUUUAUUAGGUUUCGUGAGUGGAGUUGAAAGUUCUUAGUUAUAUGGUGUUAUUACUGAUUGAGUAUAGUUUUUAUUUUUCUUUAAUUGUGUUGAGAUUAGGAAUGUUGGUUUAAUUUAGAUCUGAUGAUAUAAUGGUAAAAUUAGUAAUAUGGUUGUUGUAAUUGGGAAGAGUUGGAUUAAUUGAUUAUAUUGAUUUGAAAAAUUUAAGAUGAAGAAUUAGGCAAAUUAGCUUUUGACUGUUUAGCAAAAACAUUGUUUUUUGUUUGUAUAAGAAAUAUGUUCUGCCCACUGCUAUUAGGUGAAGGGCUGCAGUAUUUUGACUGUAUGAAGGUAGCAUAAUCAUUAGCUUUUUAAUUGGGAGCUGGUAUGAAGGUGAAACAGAGGUUUACUAUUUUAUUUUAAUUGGGUGAAUUUUGUCUUUAUGUGAAAAACCAUAAGUGAAUUAAAGGGACAAGAAGACCCUAGUAAGUUUUAUUCUUUAUUAUGAUGCGGAUAUAGGUUAGAAAUUAAUGCAAUUUAUUUUAGGGGGUUUGACUGGGGCGGUAUAUAAGAAACAUUAUUUAUUAUUUAACUUUUGAUGGCGAUUUAGGACCUAGUUGGUUUAGUUGAAUGGAAAAUUACUGUAGGGAUAACAGCGUAAUUUUUUUUGAGAGUUCUAAUUGACAGAAAA